CCCUUAGAUGUUCUGGGCAGCACGCGCGCUACAAUGGUCUUCGCAAACGGAUGGAUUCUCGAAGGAGAAUGCCAAUCUUGGAAUCUAUGCCUUGGUCGGGACAGUUGCUUGCAAUUUUUCGACUCGAACCAGGAAUUCCUUGUAAUCGUGAUUCAUCACAUCACGAUGAAUACGUCCCUGCCCUUUGUACACACCGCCCGUCGCUCCUACCGAUCGAAGAGUUAGGUGAAUUGUUUUGAUCGAUAAGAUUUGACUAUGGUCAACUCUCGUUGUGAAAUUCUGUGAAUCUGACUGUUUAGAGGAAGGAAAAGUCGUAACA
rnacentral:rRNA from 1 species